GUUUCUCUUUCUUUCUUAUCUCCAGGAAGAAAGAACAUUUAGGAUCCUAUGCGAGGUCAGUAUCCCAACAUAGCCACAAAUCAUCGUAUCCACGAGAAACUUUUUCCUCUUCUUCGUUCUCCUCGAUUAACUGAACGUAUCACCGAAACAAAAUUGAGUAAUCAUGACAGUAUUCUACCUAUAAUUCUUUCUCUUUUGUGAACUUUAUCUAUUUGUGAAAAUGCCUAAGUUACAAUCUCACUGUUUAGUUUCAAUUUCUAUUCUAUCUACUGCCACAUCAAUUGAACCCACGGAUGGCAUAAAAGUGUAUUUUUUGUAUCUAUUUCGAAGAAAGUGAAUUAAUGAUGGAAGAAGAUCAACAGGCGUUCUUGCAAGAGAGAGACAUGACAAACCAUGGUGACAAACACAAAAUAGCAGCAAUGGCAAAAUUGUGCAGGACGACGAGUUUCCUUUUCAAGGUUCUAGGUUGUUGACGUUUUGUUGAGAAGAACUUAUGUGAAAAAUCAUUGAUGUCUCCACUUCGAUAUAUCACUGUGGAGGUGUUUUCAGUGGCAAUGAUCACGAUAUACAGGAUUUAUGUUGGAGCCGUUACAGCAUGCACUCAACCUCACCAAAUCGUUGUUGAUUUACUGGCACAAAGGGUAGAGGAAGAAAGUAAUGGGUAUACAUAAUAGUUCUAUCAGUUGUUACACUUAUCAGUCUUGCUCAUCUAGGCAGAAAUUCAACUUCAACUUCAAGCAGAUGAUGCAGAAAAGCUUUCUGCCUACUUCUUUGGUUGUAAUACAGUUUAUGUGGUUGGAAAAAAAAACUCAUGCUGACAUCGAAUGUGUUCCCAGUGAUUCAGUUAUACUCAGCUAAUUUCACCUGAAGCCAUAUGCUCAUAUUGCUAUUUGGUUGAACUAGAAUUUCCAAAGAACGUAUCUUUGUACUCAAUCGUUAAAGCUAAUGAUGGGUGCACAACAGAUUGGCAGAGGAUGUAAGCCACAAUGAAAGACUAAUAGACUUGGGCAUUCAAUGGGAAAAAAUGGGUUGGAAGAAAAAUUAUGAUGUAACCCUAUACCAAGACUUGCACUAUUGUAUUCUAUUCGGGGUGGUUGAUUACUCCAACACUAAGAACACAAGGAACAACAAGGACUGAGGGUUGUCAUGGUGUUGGGAUAAAAUAGUCUCACUUGAAAGUGAUUUUCACCUUAUAGAUUAUAUACACGACAUGCCCAGUAUUGCUUUCUGCAGUGAUGUUGUGGUUCAACAAUUCUGAACAAGUGAUUAUACAUGGACCUGCAAGAUACGGAUUUGAUAAUACAUGGACCUGCAAGAUAUCGGAUUUAAUUUUUCGGUUGCUGCUCUCUUUUGGGUUUUUCUUUGUUAUUUUUUCACUGCUGUUUAUUUAUUUUUUAAAUUUUUUUUACUGAUUCCAAUUUAUGUUUCUGGUUCCUCGCCCUAAUCUUCACACGACAUCAACAAAUCAAGUAGAGUCACAGGUUCAGUUGACCAUAUAGAUUACGUCUACCAAGGAUGAAAAGAGGCAUUUGCGGGACUGGAGGCAAAGUUGAGUUGUAAGUUCAGCUGUCAAUAGAAACAACCUGUAUUUACUGUGAUGUUGAACUCCAAACAACCUGUAUUUACUGUGAUGUUUAUUAAGGGUAACCUGAAUGAGUUAAAGAACCCAGUUCACUCGAUGUAUCUUACUAUUCCAGUAUUUGUAUAUUAUAUUUGUCCCCAUUCACUCUAGGUUGGCUACCAAAUAAUGGGAAAUCGAUGGUAAUUUUAGAAAUAAUAUAAUGAUAUGAAAUUAUGCAGUUACAGUUUAUAGGUUGAAAAGCAUUAUGUGUAUACUUAAUUUGUUGGUGCUACGGUAUGUAGAAAAGUUUGAAAAGUUUGUCUACCUGUGAACCUAUUAAACCAAGGUAGUUGAAAAUCUCCGCCUUUCUCAGUUUCUUUAUUGUUUUAGUAUAACUUUUCUCUUUGGUAGUGGCCAACAUAUUGAAUCUGCAGUCCAUAGAAAGCGAUAGAGUUACUCAAUAGAAGGACUGCAGGGUUGUAUGGAUUUUCUGAAUUGGUUGAUGGUGUCACUCGAACAACAUUCAGGCAUAUAUGCGAGGAUGACAGCAUAGAAGUGCUCAUAAGUGAAAGGCUACAAUUUUUAUUGACGAUAUUAGUAGAUUUUUAUUGAGACUUCCUCCAUAAAACCAUUCCUUAUUCAUUUCCUUAGAAAAAUCAUGGAGUAUCUAUUGAACCACUGAAAUUAUAUAUAUAUAUACAUUUUGUUUUGAUCUUAUAUAGGAUUUUCACGUACUUAUGUUUCACGAUUUUCAUCUGGAGAUUGCAUGUAGCUGAUGGGGUUUUGGGGAAUUGGCUUCUUUGCAUGCGACUAGCUAAAUGUGCAUGAGACAAUGAUGUCAUGACAACAAGCUUUUAAUCAAGUAAGAAAUUACAAAACUUGCAAUGUUGA